rnacentral:rRNA from 1 species
AGUGAACGCUGGCGGUAGGCCUAACACAUGCAAGUCGAACGGCAGCACAGUAAGAGCUUGCUCUUACGGGUGGCGAGUGGCGGACGGGUGAGGAAUACAUCGGAAUCUACUUUUUCGUGGGGGAUAACGUAGGGAAACUUACGCUAAUACCGCAUACGACCUACGGGUGAAAGCAGGGGAUCUUCGGACCUUGCGCGAUUGAAUGAGACGAUGUCGGAUUAGCUAGUUGGCGGGGUAAAGGCCCACCAAGGCGACGAUCCGUAGCUGGUCUGAGAGGAUGAUCAGCCACACUGGAACUGAGACACGGCCCAGACUCCUACGGGAGGCAGCAGUGGGGAAUAUUGGACAAUGGGCGCAAGCCUGAUCCAGCCAUACCGCGUGGGUGAAGAAGGCCUUCGGGUUGUAAAGCCCUUUUGUUGGGAAAGAAAAGCAGCAGGUGAAUACCCCGCUGUUCUGACGGUACCCAAAGAAUAAGCACCGGCUAACUUCGUG